rnacentral:rRNA from 1 species
UACGUAGGGGGCAAGCGUUGUCCGGAUUUAUUGGGCGUAAAGAGCGUGUAGGCGGCCAAGCAGGUCCGCUGUGAAAACUCGAGGCUCAACCUCGAGACGUCGGUGGAAACCGUUUGGCUAGAGUCCGGAAGAGGAGAGUGGAAUUCCCGGUGUAGCGGUGAAAUGCGCAGAUAUCGGGAGGAACACCCGUGGCGAAAGCGGCUCUCUGGGACGGUACUGACGCUGAGACGCGAAAGCGUGGGGAGCGAACAGG